AUACAUGCAAGUCGUACGCACUGGCCCAACUGAUUGAUGGUGCUUGCACCUGAUUGACGAUGGAUCACCAGUGAGUGGCGGACGGGUGAGUAACACGUAGGUAACCUGCCCCGGAGCGGGGGAUAACAUUUGGAAACAGAUGCUAAUACCGCAUAACAACAAAAGCCACAUGGCUUUUGUUUGAAAGAUGGCUUUGGCUAUCACUCUGGGAUGGACCUGCGGUGCAUUAGCUAGUUGGUAAGGUAAUGGCUUACCAAGGCGAUGAUGCAUAGCCGAGUUGAGAGACUGAUCGGCCACAAUGGAACUGAGACACGGUCCAUACUCCUACGGGAGGCAGCAGUAGGGAAUCUUCCACAAUGGGCGCAAGCCUGAUGGAGCAACACCGCGUGAGUGAAGAAGGGUUUCGGCUCGUAAAGCUCUGUUGUUGGAGAAGAACGUGCGUGAGAGUAACUGUUCACGCAGUGACGGUAUCCAACCAGAAAGUCACGGCUAACUACGUGCCAGCAGCCGCGGUAAUACGUAGGUGGCAAGCGUUAUCCGGAUUUAUUGGGCGUAAAGCGAGCGCAGGCGGUUGCUUAGGUCUGAUGUGAAAGCCUUCGGCUUAACCGAAGAAGUGCAUCGGAAACCGGGCGACUUGAGUGCAGAAGAGGACAGUGGAACUCCAUGUGUAGCGGUGGAAUGCGUAGAUAUAUGGAAGAACACCAGUGGCGAAGGCGGCUGUCUGGUCUGCAACUGACGCUGAGGCUCGAAAGCAUGGGUAGCGAACAGGAUUAGAUACCCUGGUAGUCCAUGCCGUAAACGAUGAGUGCUAGGUGUUGGAGGGUUUCCGCCCUUCAGUGCCGGAGCUAACGCAUUAAGCACUCCGCCUGGGGAGUACGACCGCAAGGUUGAAACCCAAAGGAAUUGACGGGGGCCCGCACAAGCGGUGGAGCAUGUGGUUUAAUUCGAAGCUACGCGAAGAACCUUACCAGGUCUUGACAUCUUGCGCUAACCUUAGAGAUAAGGCGUUCCCUUCGGGGACGCAAUGACAGGUGGUGCAUGGUCGUCGUCAGCUCGUGUCGUGAGAUGUUGGGUUAAGUCCCGCAACGAGCGCAACCCUUGUUACUAGUUGCCAGCAUUAAGUUGGGCACUCUAGUGAGACUGCCGGUGACAAACCGGAGGAAGGUGGGGACGACGUCAGAUCAUCAUGCCCCUUAUGACCUGGGCUACACACGUGCUACAAUGGACGGUACAAUGAGUCGCAAGCUCGCGAGAGUAAGCUAAUCUCUUAAAGCCGUUCUCAGUUCGGACUGUAGGCUGCAACUCGCCUACACGAAGUCGGAAUCGCUAGUAAUCGCGGAUCAGCAUGCCGCGGUGAAUACGUUCCCGGGCCUUGUACACACCGCCCGUCACACCAUGGGAGUUUGUAACGCCCAAAGUCGGUGGCCUAAC
rnacentral:rRNA from 2 species